UGGUUUGGGCUCUUAAAAGAAGUUGGAAGCAGAAGAACUUUACUCAGACCCCUGGGAAGAGCUGUGCUCAGAAGACAGUGACUAAGAACACGCACAAUGCAGCACACGUAUCUACGGCGUGGUGAUGUACGUCUUUCCACUCAAGAAAGCCAAGGGGCGUUUCCAGAAGAGGGAGCAACCCGUACAGAGGCUUGGAUUCAGGAACGUCGAGCGAGGCCAGGGGUCUGGUGAGGUCCCGCGUCUGUGGGAUAUACCACGUCUUUAACAUGCAUGCAUUUGAAAGAAGCAGAUGGAAGCUGCUUCUCUGAGCCUAAUUGGACAGAAUUGUGGUGGCGAGGUGAGGCCUGGGCCUAAUAAGUAAGGGGGGCUAGGGCACGGAGGGGAGGGGCGUUCUAGAAGGACACUGGGUCUUUUUGAUGAAAACGUGGGCCUCCCCACAGUCAUCCCUCUUCAGCUGCUGCCUCGCAGAUGGACCCUUUAAUUGAAUUUUCCUACAGGCCUGGGGGAGGGAGCCAUUUCAGGCCCCGAGAGCAACUGAAGUGAAUCGAAUGACAUCGGUCUCUUUUCACCGGGAGCUGAAGGGGCAGGUGGGGUGGUUGUCGGUCUCGGUGUUUCCAUCCUCCGCUCUUCAGUUCCCGUGAUUGUCUUUUCCUUUUGAACAUCCCCACCCAGGGUGACCUCACCAGGUUCUGGCCUUCGCCACCAGGGUAAGCGUGGGGGAAGAGGAGGGAGGAAGGUAGGAGUCUGUUGGAUUCCACACGAUCCGGCAACACUUGCCAGGCGAAUAGCCCGGGCCGGAGUUGUGCUCUCAAGAAGACAGUGACAGGUUCAGCGAACGCCUUCGGAGAAAGUAGCCUCAAGCGGGGAGACUGCUCUUCAAAGAAGAGCGGAGAAAGUAAACCAAAACAAAGGACAAAUACACAAAGCCACUUGGAGGAUAAUGAAAGCCAGCGUGAAGCCCUCAGCUGAAUAGGUGAGCGAUUAAAACGGAUAGGCUGGGGCCACCAGAACGUGUCCCCGGAGGUCCUCGGAGGCCUUGUGGGACAUUGAAUUUGGACAAUGGCCUGUAGAUUGGCUGGGCCCAAAAAUAAAAUGCGUGUGUGGAAGGAAGGCUCGGGAGAA
rnacentral:lncRNA from 1 species